UACCAUGCAGUCGACGAUGAACCACUUCGGUGGGGAUUAGUGGCGAACGGGUGAGUAACACGUGGGCAAUCUGCCCUGCACUCUGGGACAAGCCCUGGAAACGGGGUCUAAUACCGGAUACUGAUCCUCGCAGGCAUCUGCGAGGUUCGAAAGCUCCGGCGGUGCAGGAUGAGCCCGCGGCCUAUCAGCUAGUUGGUGAGGUAACGGCUCACCAAGGCGACGACGGGUAGCCGGCCUGAGAGGGCGACCGGCCACACUGGGACUGAGACACGGCCCAGACUCCUACGGGAGGCAGCAGUGGGGAAUAUUGCACAAUGGGCGAAAGCCUGAUGCAGCGACGCCGCGUGAGGGAUGACGGCCUUCGGGUUGUAAACCUCUUUCAGCAGGGAAGAAGCGAAAGUGACGGUACCUGCAGAAGAAGCGCCGGCUAACUACGUGCCAGCAGCCGCGGUAAUACGUAGGGCGCAAGCGUUGUCCGGAAUUAUUGGGCGUAAAGAGCUCGUAGGCGGCUUGUCACGUCGGUUGUGAAAGCCCGGGGCUUAACCCCGGGUCUGCAGUCGAUACGGGCAGGCUAGAGUUCGGUAGGGGAGAUCGGAAUUCCUGGUGUAGCGGUGAAAUGCGCAGAUAUCAGGAGGAACACCGGUGGCGAAGGCGGAUCUCUGGGCCGAUACUGACGCUGAGGAGCGAAAGCGUGGGGAGCGAACAGGAUUAGAUACCCUGGUAGUCCACGCCGUAAACGGUGGGCACUAGGUGUGGGCAACAUUCCACGUUGUCCGUGCCGCAGCUAACGCAUUAAG
rnacentral:rRNA from 1 species